GCAGUCUUAGCUCAGCUGGGAGAGCGUCAGACUGAAGUUAUUUAGUCAGUAAUAUGCCUUAGCAUAUCUGAAGGUCGUGUGUUCGAUCCACACAGACUGCA